UGUAGAAAUUACGAAUGUUUUAUUGAAAGUGUGAACUUAAUAGAAUUAUGUAAAGAUUUGAUGAACUGUGCCAAGACUUACAUAUAACUCUGGCCCCUCGCUCUCUUCAGAUCUACUUCAGAAGAAAAUCAGAACAGAUCUUCUAUCACUUUUCAGGCAUUAAGAGUUUGUGAGAGAUUUGUACUUUCAGACUUGUAAGAAUCUCUUGAUGCAUUUUUCCAAUAGAGUUAGCUCAUAUGGUCAUGUUUCCUAUCUUGUGUACCUGGGAGAUUAGCCAGGCAACUGUCUUCUUGAGAAAUCCAUUCUUUCUGAUAAUCACUCUUUUUUUUUCCAAGGAGUUCAUACAUAAUCUCUUUGCUUCUCUGUUCAAUUUAUUUGUAAUCUUUUCUAAAAUGCUGUAAGGAACCUGCAUCUGCAGGAAUGAUGAUAGGAAGAUGAGGAUGGCUGUAUUAUCUUCUCAUCGUUCCUAUCACCCAUCUCCUCCCACUUCCGAAUGUAUGAUUGUAACUUGUUGCUGUAUCCUGACGAUUGAUUUGAUUUGUACCCUAUGACUAGCAUUAAAUGUUGUACCUUACGAUUCUUAGCGAAUGUAUCUUGUCUGUUUAGGUACACUGGGAGCAUAUGCACCAGACAAUUCCUUGUGUGUCCAAUCACCCUUGGCCAAUAAAGAAUUCUAUCUAUCUAUCUAUCUAUCUAUCUAUCUAUCUAUCUAUCUAUCUAUCUAUCUAUCUAUCUAUCUACCUACCUACCUACCUACCUACCUACCUACCUACCUACCUAUUAAUUCCUCCAUUCUUCAUAUAUCCACGAUUUUUAAGGAUGAUAAACUAUUCAUGGUAAAUUUUAUAAUAAAAUUUGUUCUAAAAUGUUCAUUACAUUUUUAUUCUAUUAUGUUUAUUAAAUUACUAUAAAACUGUGAUGAAGGAACUUUUGAGAGCUUCUUUGUUUAUUUGAUUAUAUUUUUCUUUAAUUCAGAUGGCUGCCAUAUUGGUGAAAAGUGACUAAAACUGACUGCUUAGUUUCUAGAAAAAGAGUGAAAUGAGAUGGAGGUGAGGUGAUGUCAUGAGAAUGCGUCCCUCAAACAAGAAUCUUUUGCUGCAGCUGAUGGGACAUGAAAGUGAAUUCUGUGUCAGAAAUUUUGCAACAAGCCUGUUUUUCAAGAUCCAAAGAGAUUGCUUGAGGCGGCUUUUCAGCACCAUGAACAAGUAUAGUACACCAGAGGUGGGGAAAAAAUUCCAAUCAUUCUGGUUGGACCUUGUGGGAAAUUCUACUCAAGCAUCAAGACCCAACAACCAGAGGGAAGCAACCACAAGUUUCAGUCUAUAACAGUGAUGGCGAAGCACUUCGGCAUGCGCGUUCCGCACAUGCGCUCCUCAAAACUGCAACCAGGAAGAGGAGCUGCCCAGGGAGCAUACAUGCACCGAACAAGGUGAAGAGCCCGCAAUGGAGGCAAUCAUUCCAAGGCAAGAGGGAAUCUGCGUAGCUCGUCUCAAUAGCCACACUGUUGGGAGGAAUCUCCCUGGAGGAUCGAACUCAGGUCACAUCUGGGUUGGGUUGCCUGAAUGCAGUGAGGUCCCAGGAGUUUCCAACCGCCUUCAUUCAUCGUCUUCUGUUACACACAAACUGUUCUAAUCAAAGAGAUUUAUUCCCCUUCCCCUUCAGCUGACAUCAACUAAAUAUAAAUUCCUCAUUAAUUGGAAUAAGUUUGAUUUUGUUGUUGGACAGGAGAUAACACAUUAGUGGCACCUUUUUAUUUAAGACACUGACGUGGAUACCCAUCUUAACAUAACAUAACAUAACAUCAGAGUUGGAAGGGACCUUGGAGGCCUUCUAGUCCAACCCCCUGCCCAGGCAGGAAACCCUAUACCAUCUCAGUCAGAUGGUUAUCCAACAUUUUCUUAAAAAUUUCCAGUGUUGGAGCAUUCACAACUUCUGAAGGCAAGUCGUUCCACUUAUUAAUUGUUCUAACUGUCAGGAAAUUUCUCCUUAGUUCUAAGUUGCUUCUUUCUUAUACCCAUCUUAUCACUGGGCAGGUCAGUGCAUAACAAUAAAAUAUAAAAACUAAUAAAAUGAUAACCACAAACUGUACACUGUACGGUACCAGCAAAACCAUUCUCCCAUCACACCUGGACUCGUUUCAAACUACCCCAUGCAUUUUUAACAUAAUGCCUCUGAAAAUAUUUAUGUGCCGUACUUCUACCAUACCAAAGGAAGGCAUGCCAACCUAAUUACAAAUCAUGUCCCUCUAUUAAUAGUAGUCUUUUAUUUUUCAAAUUUACCCAUUCAUUUCACCAUGUCACGGCUGACGCCUGGUAAUAUAAUUCCCAAUCUGGAAGUCCAAAGCCCCCAUUACAUCUGGAUUCCUAUAACAUUUUCAAUUUGAUUCUUUGUUUUUGCUUUGCCAAAUGUAUUUCAAAAUCAUUCUAUUUAAUUCAUUGAAAAUUUUCUUUUCUAAUUUUAUCAGUAUAGUUUGGAAUAGGAAAAGUACUUUUGGUAAUACGUUCAUUUUAACGACAGCUACUCUCCUUGUCAUAUUUAGUUGUAAAUUCUGUCACCUAAGUCCAAUUUAAUUUGUUGCAUUAAUUUUGUAUAAUUGUCAUCUUUGAUUGUCACACACCUUGCUGUUAGGUAGAUACCGAGAUAUUUAACCUUUUUUACUACCUGUAGGCCAAUUUUCUCUGUCAGUUCCUCUUUUUGUUUAUCUGUUAUGUUCUUAACUAAUACUUUGGUUUUCUCUUUGUUUAUUUUCAUCCCUGCCACCUCUCCAUAUUCCUCAGUUCUCAUCAAUUUGGGGCCAGUGUUACAGAUUGGUUUAAAGUCCAUUUUACUUUCCUCUUUUGUCCCUUCCAACUGAUUUUGAUUGGAUUGUGGUCAGCCCAUAAAUUUGUUUCUAUUUCAAUCUCUUGCACAUUCCCACUCAAUUCCUAGGUCAUCCAAACCAUAUCUAUUCUAGACCCAAGAUUGGUGCACGUUAGAAUAAAAUGUAUUCUGUUUCUGGUUCAUUUCUCUCCAAAUAUCUUGUAUCGACAGUUCUCUAUCAUUUUAGUAAGGGCUCUAGGUAGGGUCCUUCUUGUAUUCUUAUUUGUUUACUACUUUUAUAGUCCAGAUUUGCGUUGACUAUUGUAUUGAAAUCUCCCAUAAUACAAAUGCUUUCAUAUUUUGCUUUUAAUAUCUUUUUAUGAAGUUUUUUUGUAGAAUUCCUUUUGUCUUGAGUUUGGUGCAUAGAUAGCAACCAGGAGAAUCCGUUUUUUAUUUAAAAUCACCUCCAACAUCAGAACUAUCCCUUCUUCAUCUU